AUUGAACGCUAGCGGGAUGCCUUACACAUGCAAGUCGAACGGCAGCACGGACUUCGGUCUGGUGGCGAGUGGCGAACGGGUGAGUAAUGUAUCGGAACGUGCCCAGUAGCGGGGGAUAACUACUCGAAAGAGUAGCUAAUACCGCAUACGCCCUACGGGGGAAAGGGGGGGAUCGCAAGACCUCUCCCUCUUGGAGCGGCCGAUAUCGGAUUAGCUAGGUGGGGGGGUAAAGGCCCACCAAGGCGACGAUCCGUAGCCGGUUUGAGAGGACGACCAGCCACACUGGGACUGAGACACGGCCCAGACUCCUACGGGAGGCAGCAGUGGGGAAUUUUGGACAAUGGGGGCAACCCUGAUCCAGCCAUCCCGCGUGUGCGAUGAAGGCCUUCGGGUCGUAAAGCACUUUCAGUGGGGAGAAAAGUGAUUCACCUAAUACGUGAGUCAAUUGAUGUUACCCACAGAAGAAGCACCGGCUAACUCCGUGCCAGCCGCCGCAGUAA
rnacentral:rRNA from 1 species